rnacentral:rRNA from 1 species
GACGAACGCUGGCGGCGUGCCUAACACAUGCAAGUCGAGCGAGUGAAUCUCCUUCGGGAGUGAAGCUAGCGGCGGACGGGUGAGUAACACGUGGGCAACCUGCCUCAUAGAGGGGAAUAGCCUUUCGAAAGGAAGAUUAAUACCGCAUAAGAUUGUAGCUUCGCAUGAAGUAGCAAUUAAAGGAGCAAUCCGCUAUGAGAUGGGCCCGCGGCGCAUUAGCCAGUUGGUGAGGUAACGGCCCACCAAGGCGACGAUGCGUAGCCGAACUGAGAGGGUGAUCGGCCACAUUGGGACUGAGACACGGCCCAGACUCCUACGGGAGGCAGCAGUGGGGAAUAUUGCACAAUGGGGGAAACCCUGAUGCAGCAACGCCGCGUGAGUGAUGACGGCCUUCGGGUUGUAAAGCUCUGUCUUCAGGGACGAUAAUAACGGUACCUGAGGAGGAAGCCACGGCUAACUACGUGCCAGCCGCCGCCGUAA